rnacentral:rRNA from 1 species
CCCUUAGUUGUUCUGGGCCGCACGCGCGCUACACUGAUGCAUUCAACGAGUUUCUUCCUGGUCCGAGAGGAAUGGGUAACCUUUUGAAAGUGCAUCGUGAUAGGGAUAGACUAUUGCAAUUAUUGGUCUUCAACGAGGAAUUCCUAGUAGACGUAGUUCAUCAGACUGCAUCGAUUACGUCCCUGCCCUUUGUACACACCGCCCGUCGCUCCUACCGAUUGAAUGCUCAGGUGAGCCAUUCGGACUUUCAUCAUGCUGGUUUCCAGUUUUGAUGAAGGAAAGUCUUGCGAACCUUAUCAUUUAGAGGAAGGAGAAGUCGUAACA